CCUACGGGUGGCUGCAGUGGGGAAUAUUGGACAAUGGGCGAAAGCCUGAUCCAGCCAUGCCGCGUGUGUGAAGAAGGCCUUCGGGUUGUAAAGCACUUUCAGUGGGGAAGAAAGCCUUGGAGCUAAUACCCUAGAGGAAGGACAUCACCCACAGAAGAAGCACCGGCUAACUCCGUGCCAGCAGCCGCGGUAAUACGGAGGGUGCGAGCGUUAAUCGGAAUUACUGGGCGUAAAGCGCGCGUAGGCGGUCUGAUAAGCCGGUUGUGAAAGCCCCGGGCUCAACCUGGGAACGGCAUCCGGAACUGUCAGGCUAGAGUGCAGGAGAGGAAGGUGGAAUUCCCUGUGUAGCGGUGAAAUGCGUAGAGAUCGGGAGGAAUACCAGUGGCGAAGGCGGCCUUCUGGACUGACACUGACGCUGAGGUGCGAAAGCGUGGGUAGCAAACAGGAUUAGAUACCCGAGUAGUC
rnacentral:rRNA from 1 species